rnacentral:rRNA from 1 species
UGGGGAAUAUUGGACAAUGGGGGAAACCCUGAUCCAGCAAUGCCGCGUGAGUGAAGAAGGCCUUAGGGUUGUAAAGCUCUUUCGCCCGCGAAGAUAAUGACGGUAGCGGGAGAAGAAGCCCCGGCUAACUCCGUGCCAGCAGCCGCGGUAAUACGGAGGGGGCUAGCGUUGUUCGGAAUUACUGGGCGUAAAGCGUACGUAGGCGGAUGCGCAAGUUGGGGGUGAAAUCCCGGGGCUUAACCUCGGAAUUGCCCUCAAAACUGCACGUCUUGAGACCGAGAGAGGUGAGGGGAAUUCCUAGUGUAGAGGUGAAAUUCGUAGAUAUUAGGAAGAACACCAGUGGCGAAGGCGCCUUACUGGCUCGGUACUGACGCUGAGGUACGAAAGCGUGGGGAGCAAACA